AACGAACGCUGGCGGCAGGCUUAACACAUGCAAGUCGAGCGCCCCGCAAGGGGAGCGGCAGACGGGUGAGUAACGCGUGGGAAUCUACCCGUCUCUACGGAAUAACGCAUGGAAACGUGUGCUAAUACCGUAUACGUCCUUCGGGAGAAAGAUUUAUCGGAGAUGGAUGAGCCCGCGUUGGAUUAGCUAGUUGGUGGGGUAAAGGCCUACCAAGGCGACGAUCCAUAGCUGGUCUGAGAGGAUGAUCAGCCACACUGGGACUGAGACACGGCCCAGGAUUCUACGGGGGGCAGCAGGGGGGAAUAUUGGACAAUGGGCGCAAGCCUGAUCCAGCCAUGCCGCGUGAGUGAUGAAGGCCCUAGGGUUGUAAAGCUCUUUCACCGGUGAAGAUAAUGACGGUAACCGGAGAAGAAGCCCCGGCUAACUUCGUGCCAGCCGCCGCCGUAAAAC
rnacentral:rRNA from 1 species